rnacentral:misc_RNA from 1 species
GAUGAAGAACGUAGCGAAAUGCGAUAAGUAAUGCGAAUUGCAGAAUUCAGUGAGUCAUCGAAUCUUUGAACGCACAUUGCGCCCUGUGGUAUUCCGCAGGGCAUGCCUGUUCGAGCGUCAUUUCAACCCUCAAGCCCCGCUUGGUGUUGGGCCCCGCCCGCUGUGGCCGGCCCUAAAGACAGUGGCGGCGCCGCCUGGCCCUCAGCGUAGUACAUCUCUCGCUCCAGGGUCCGGUGGCCGCCUGCCAGAACCCCCCAACUCUGUGGUUGACCUCGGAUCAGGUAGGGAUACCCGCUGAACUUAAGCAUAUCAAUAAGCGAGGA